UACGGAGGGGGCCAGCGUUGUUCGGAAUCAUUGGGCGUAAAGGGCGCGUAGGCGGCUUGGUAAGUCCGUUGUGAAAUCCCUCGGCUCAACCGAGGAACUGCGACGGAUACUGCUUGGCUUGAGUCCCGGAGAGGGUAGCGGAAUUCCCAGUGUAGCGGUGAAAUGCGUAGAUAUUGGGAGGAACAUCGGUGGCGAAGGCGGCUACCUGGACGGGUACUGACGCUGAGGCGCGAAAGCUAGGGGAGCAAACAG
rnacentral:rRNA from 1 species